GACGAACGCUGGCGGCGUGCCUAAUACAUGCAAGUAGAACGCUGAAACUUGGUGCUUGCACCGAGCGGAUGAGUUGCGAACGGGUGAGUAACGCGUAGGUAACCUGCCUGGUAGCGGGGGAUAACUAUUGGAAACGAUAGCUAAUACCGCAUAAGAGUAGAUGUUGCAUGACAUUUGCUUAAAAGGUGCAAUUGCACCACUACCAGAUGGACCUGCGUUGUAUUAGCUAGUUGGUGGGGUAACGGCUCACCAAGGCGACGAUACAUAGCCGACCUGAGAGGGUGAUCGGCCACACUGGGACUGAGACACGGCCCAGACUCCUACGGGAGGCAGCAGUAGGGAAUCUUCGGCAAUGGACGGAAGUCUGACCGAGCAACGCCGCGUGAGUGAAGAAGGUUUUCGGAUCGUAAAGCUCUGUUGUAAGAGAAGAACGAGUGUGAGAGUGGAAAGUUCACACUGUGACGGUAUCUGACCAGAAAGGGACGGCUAACUACGUG
rnacentral:rRNA from 1 species